GUGUCAGCCGCCGCGGUAAGACGGAGGGGGCAAGCGUUGUCCGGAAUUACUGGGCGUAAAGCGCUCGUAGGCGGUCGCAUACGGCGGUGGUGAAAGCUCCCGGCUCAACUGGGAGAGGCCCGCCGCAACGGUGCGACUCGAGGGUGGUAGAGGCAGAUGGAAUUCCUGGUGUAGCGGUGAAAUGCGUAGAGAUCAGGAGGAACACCAAUGGCGAAGGCAGUCUGCUGGGCCACACCUGACGCUGAGGAGCGAAAGCCAGGGGAGCGAACGGGAUUAGAUACCCCCGUAGUCC
rnacentral:rRNA from 1 species